GUGCUCACUUCGGCAGCACAUAUACCAAAAUUGGAAAUGAUACAGAGAAGAUUAGCAUGGCCCCCACAUAAGGAUGACAUGCAAAUUCUUGAAGCAUUCCAUAUAUUU
rnacentral:snRNA from 1 species